UGAGAAAUUCCAUUCUGGGGAGUGGGGCCUACUGUUUCAGGAGUCUGAGGAGCAGAUAGACAAGCGUCUCUUUGGAAUAUCUUCAUCCCUGUGGACACAGUUACAUAGCUGAGCUGCUCUUGAGUCCAAGAUCCUUCUGCCGCUGCUUCUCUGUGCUGAGAUGACAGGUGCAUCUCAGAGACCUCUCAGGUUCUUCUCACGCAUGAAUACCCACCACGACGAUGAUCCUAGCUAACCACGCAUACCCCUGCCUUAGUCCCUGCAGGUGGUCCUGACACCGCAGUACUGAAAGCCCUGAGGCUCCCUGCUGACUCACAGCCCAUCCUGACAGGCAAGAACAUCAGCCUCGCAGAUGCACAGUGUACCACCGGCUCCAGCGUAAUCCAAGUCGCCAGGAGACAU
rnacentral:lncRNA from 1 species